rnacentral:rRNA from 1 species
AGAGGUGGCAAGCGUUGUUCGGAUUCAUUGGGCGUAAAGGGUCCGUAGGCGGUUCAGAAAGUUGGAUGUGAAAUCCCAUGGCUUAACCAUGGAACUGCAUUCAAAACUCCUGGACUAGAGGAUGAGAGGGGUAGAGGGAAUUCCCGGUGUAAGGGUGAAAUCUGCAGAGAUCGGGAAGAACACCAGUCGCGAAGGCGCUCUACUGGCUCAUAUCUGACGCUGAGGGACGAAAGCUAGGGGAGCAAACGGGAUUAGAUACCCCGGUAGUCCUAGCUGUAAACGAUGAUCACUAGGUGUCGGGAGGGUAAACCUUUCGGUGCCGCCGCUAACGCAUUAAGUGAUCCGCCUGGGAAGUACUGUCGCAAGGCAG